GACGAACGCUGGCGGCGUGCUUAACACAUGCCAGUCGAACGGAAAGGCCCUGCUUUUGUGGGGUGCUCGAGUGGCGAACGGGUGAGUAACACGUGAGUAACCUGCCCUUGACUUUGGGAUAACUCCAGGAAACUGGGGCUAAUACCGGAUAGGAGCUCCUGCUGCAUGGUGGUGGUUGGAAAGUUUCGGCGGUUGGGGAUGGACUCGCGGCUUAUCAGCUUGUUGGUGGGGUAGUGGCUUACCAAGGCUUUGACGGGUAGCCGGCCUGAGAGGGUGACCGGCCACAUUGGGACUGAGAGACGGCCCAGACUCCUACGGGAGGCAGCAGUGGGGAAUAUUGCACAAUGGGCGGAAGCCUGAUGCAGCAACGCCGCGUGCGGGAUGACGGCCUUCGGGUUGUAAACCGCUUUCGCCUGUGACGAAGCGUGAGUGACGGUAAUGGGUAAAGAAGCACCGGCUAACUACGUG
rnacentral:rRNA from 1 species